GACGAACGCUGGCGGCGUGCUUAACACAUGCAAGUCGGGGGGCGGGGUAACUCGUCACCGGCGAACGGGUGCGGAACACGUGAGCGACCUGCCCUGGAGUGGGGGAUAGCCGGCCCAACGGCCGGGUAAUACCGCAUGCGGCCGUGGCUUGGAGGCCACUGGCGAAAGCCCUGCAAGGGGCGCUCGAGGAGGGGCUCGCGGCCUAUCAGCUAGUUGGGGGGGUGACGGCCUCCCAAGGCGAUGACGGGUAGCUGGUCUGAGAGGAUGGCCAGCCACAUUGGGACUGAGAGACGGCCCAGACUCCUACGGGAGGCAGCAGUGGGGAAUAUUGCGCAAUGGGCGAAAGCCUGACGCAGCGACGCCGCGUGGAGGAUGAGGCCCUUCGGGGUGUAAACUCCUGUUGCCCGGGACGAAUGCCCAGGAUGGCCUGGGUUGACGGUACCGGGUGAGGAAGCACCGGCUAACUCUGUGCCAGCCGCCGCCGUAACAC
rnacentral:rRNA from 1 species